GACGAACGCUGGCGGCGUGCUUAACACAUGCAAGUCGAGCGGAAAGGCCCUUCGGGGUACUCGAGCGGCGAACGGGUGAGUAACACGUUAGUAACCUGCCCUAGGCUUUGGGAUAACCCCGGGACACCGGGGCUAAUACCGGAUAUGACCUGGUUCCGCAUGGUGUUGGGUGGAAAGUUUUUUCGGCCUGGGAUGGGCUCGCGGCCUAUCAGCUUGUUGGUGGGGUGAUGGCCUACCAAGGCGAUGACGGGUAGCCGGCCUGAGAGGGCGACCGGCCACACUGGGACUGAGACACGGCCCAGACUCCUACGGGAGGCAGCAGUGGGGAAUAUUGCACAAUGGGCGGAAGCCUGAUGCAGCGACGCCGUGUGAGGGAUGAAGGCCUUCGGGUUGUAAACCUCUUUCAGCAGGGACGAAGCGUGAGUGACGGUACCUGCAGAAGAAGCGCCGGCCAACUACGUG
rnacentral:rRNA from 1 species